GCAGGCACUUCCGCCCCAGGAGGACGACGUAGCAGCCAUCUUUUCCCUGAUGGUGGUGAUUGGGCUCUGCUAUUCACGAGCCUUGUGAACUUCCUCCAGACGCGCCUGGGGCCAACAGCGAGCGGCUGAAAGUGGAGCCCUGACUCCACGGAAAGCACGGUACGGAUGAGGAGGCAGCAGCGCCCACGUGGUUCUUCUGCAUUUUUCUACGAGUGGCAUCGGCAUCAGUUGGGUAGACCUUCUGAUUUAGAAUUUCUGCAUGUGGGACACAGGAAUCUGAAUUCCAACAAGACCCUGAGGCGAUUCCUGUGCACAGGAAACUUGGAGAAGCUCAGGAAAGGUUCUGGUCCGGAAACGGAGGCCUAGAAAAUUGACCCUGCUGGCUUUCAUGGGACUCUGCAUUUCCCCAGAAAGAAAAAGAAAAUGAGUGUGUUCAAGGAUGCACCAGUUCGAAUUCUAGGAGUUGACUCAUCACGGUGCUCACCAGGUGAACGUACAAAGCUUGCCUUUUCCUAGCAGCCCCUUUGGUGCCUGAGGAGCAUCAGCGUCUGGCCCUGGCGGGAUGGAAGCAGGGCUGGGAAGUCACCAAAUUGCUCAGGAGCCCAAGCACCCUCCCGCCCUCCUCCCCACCCCCCUUCACUCCACUCCAGUGGACACUGAACGUAGGUUGAGUUUGUACGUGUUUG